rnacentral:rRNA from 1 species
UACGAAGGGGGCUAGCGUUGCUCGGAAUCACUGGGCGUAAAGGGUGCGUAGGCGGGUCUUUAAGUCAGGGGGGAAAUCCUGGAGCUCAACUCCAGAACUGCCUUUGAUACUGAAGAUCUUGAGUUCGGGAGAGGUGAGUGGAACUGCGAGUGUAGAGGUGAAAUUCGUAGAUAUUCGGAAGAACACCAGUGGCGAAGGCGGCUCACUGGCCCGGUACUGACGCUGAGGUGCGAAAGCGUGGGGAGCAAACAGG